AGAGAAGCUAAGGGGGAACUAUCUACCUGCUUCCACUUCUCAUUUCUAUGGACUAGACAGAUAUCUGCAUCAUUGCUUAACCUCAAGCUAAGAUUAGUGGCAUUAGAAGCUUUCUAUACAACUCACCGGAGAGGUAGGAGGGAUUUUUUCCACAAUCAAAUGCUUAUUUCCAGUAUCCAGCAGAAUACAAGUCUCCUGGUUGAACUGCAAAUUCAAAACUGACUAUGAAUGACCAAGGGAAUGAUACAAUUUCUUUAGCCAGGUCACAGAAGGAUGGAAAGGCUCACCAUGCCUGCCUGUGGGAACUUGGCUGUUGAUCUGCACAGCAGCAGGAGCUGGGGUUCCCUGCAAGGGAUGGUGUCACUAAACUUGAGCUCACUUGUCACAAUGGAAUUUAAUUAUCUGCUGGAGAGAAGCCCUGACAGCUGUGGCGUAGGUUUUUCAAUGUGAUGUUGCUGGAUCGCAAGAAAAAUAUCAAGGGCUGGUGAGAACAGCCAUGUUCUAAAAGCAUCUCUGGCUGGGUUAGCCCACUGCCUACCAAAGAGGGCGUAAGUUGGAAGAGUUGGAAGCACAGUGUUUGUUUACCACAUUGCCCCUGGGUUUGCCUCUGGCUUGUGCAUCCUGGGGGAGAGGCAGUGGGUCUGCUACUGGUUCCUCAAACAUUGACAUCUGUGUUGGCCUUCUGUAGUGAAACCAUUUUCCUAGCAGCAGCAUCAGGCUCUUCUCCACACUAUUUCCCUUAUCAGCACACUGCGUGGUGCGUACGCAGUGUCUCGGUGCAGCCGGUACGCACUUGGUUAUCUGGAAUGCAGAUGCUGGGAAAAUUCAGAAGCUCUGGAAUGCUUGCAAGCUGUGCACCCUAUGUAGCAGACGCCAAAGAUAAUGGGAGCAAAAG
rnacentral:lncRNA from 1 species